ensembl:lncRNA
CUGUGAGGCAGCCAGCCCAAGGGCGCUGCCUGCAAAGAUUCCUGGUACUGCUUGGGGAACUGGCAACUUAUAAGGAUCCUCCUGGUUACUAGAAAGCCAGAGUGAGGCGUGGUUACCUUUGUGUAUUUUUCUUUACAAAAACCUUGACGUCAGGAGACAAGGGCCUUUCUUAGCUCUGCUUUGUAUUUCCACAUAUAGUACACAUUUUCCGAAGAAGACUUCUAGGAAAAACAUGGACCAAGGCAUAAUGGUGGACCAAGGAAAGUAAAAAUAUUUUUAUGAAGCAAAUAGUUUAAGAACUGAAGAAACAAGAAUGAUGCUGAUAUGCCACCCUAGUUCUAACUCAGGCAGCUGGUUCCUGACUUUGUGUUAGGUUCUCAGACUAAAUUCUUCUAAUGCGAAACAGUGCCUAGCAACAACCCCUCCCCCCACCUCCUGCCGGUUUCUCCCAGGUAGAGUGACAUAGCAGGAGAUGUCACUUUGAAUACUCCCCGAUGAGGAAGAAAGAUGGCAGAUUCAACUGAAGCAUGGUUCAAAGAUGCAGGAAAUGGAUACGAUACAUGGUGUCGUUUAGGUUUAAAAUAGGGGCACUUGAGUGUUCAGUGUUACUUGCAAUAAAUAUAUUAGAUUUAAGCCUCAGUUUGAACCUAACCAUAACUGGACCCUUAACUAUCUGGCUUAAAUGACUGGUAACAUGAGGCAUUUCAUAACUUCUGGUCCAUUAGUUGUGAUCAGGUCCCAGUUAACAUUCCAGGACUUGGCUUUAGCCAACCUACAUGAAAAAUUUGAAGAAGGAGCACAUAUUUGGACAGUCCGUGCCUUUGGUAUGAUAUUUGCCAUGUUGUAGAUGUUGUAGUUUUUUUUUUUUUUUAAGUUUUGAAAGUUUUUGUUUGUCUUCAGAGUUGGACUGGUGGAGGUAAUCUCUAUUUUUCUUCUUUAGUAAUAACUUCGCUGUAUGUAUUUCCUGGUCCAUAAUUGUUCUUUGUGUGUAUUGCCAAGAGAAAACUCUUUCCUAGGGUAAUAAGUUUCCUAUCUAUUGAUCAGUCAAGGCUAAAAGCUAAACUCUGUUUUCCUACUUCACUUCUGUACCUGCUGCUGCUGCUGCUGCUGCUAAGUCGCUUCAGUCGUGUCCGACUCUGUGCGACCCCAGAGACCUGAGUGAGAAGUAAAACUUUCUGCUGCCAUGUUUGGAAACCCCAUAUCACACACUCUUCACUCCUCCAAUAUGAAUCCAGUCUACUCCUUUGGGGCCCACUAUCCCCCUCAUGGAAAGCUGGUAGAUUUUCUUAAAGUUGAAAUCAUCAAGAAGCUAUGUGCUUAAACACUGUUUAAAACAGCCAAGCCAUGAAAGCAACCUGUGUCCAUCAACAAAGGAAUGGAUGAGGAAGAUGUGAUACAUACAUACAAUGGAAUACUACUCAGCCAUGAAAAAGAAUGAAAUAACACCAUGUGUAGCAACAUGGAUGGACCUGGGGAUUAUCACACAAAACAAAUAAAAAAAAGGGGCUGUGUGUCUAAAUGACUCGAAGGAGAAACAACAAAAGGAUUCAAUGCUCCACCUGGAAGGAUCAACAGGAUCAUCCUAGGUAGGCUUUUCCCAGCAACAGGGAUUAGUGGCCAAGGCUGGACUCGAGAAGAGAUGCUGAAAGUGCCUCUGUAGAGCCCACCCCUGCUCGAGGAGAGGAAAUAGUCAAGUUCAGAGUUGCAACCGCACCUGAAGACACUUGGACCAGAAGAGGCAGCAAUGUGCCCUUUGGCCACGACAGACACACAACAUUCUGGUGCUCCUCCGUGUCAUCACUUAAAUUUGCUUCAGCAAAAAGGAAUCCUGGAUCCUUUGCUUCUUUGAAAAUCAAUUGCCAGAAUGACUUGUACAUCUAAAAGUUGUGAUUAUGUCUCUCCAGUGUCUUGGGAAAUUCAAUGUUUUGAGUUCAAGAGAUCAGACUGCCUGCUGGGAAUCAAGCAUUCAGCAUCCCAUGAAAGCACUUGAUACUUUGAACCGCUUUUUCACAACUUUACAUCCGUUUCACAGACAGCCAAAGGUCCCUGACUUCUCUUAGAGCUCCCAGGGUCUCUUGAGAGCUUGGAAAGCCAUUGAGUAACUAACGAGGGGAUCUUGCCCAUGGGCUGGAGGUCUUCCACUUCCAGCAUCCAUUUUCACUGCCUGCGGUGGCAUUUUCAUUCUCAAGUUAGCCUUUCAAAGUUCAAUCAAGUUCACUCUCAGUGGCCGCUUACUAACUGUAGCCAACUAGAAAACUUACGACAUAGUCUACUGGGAGAUUGACUGAGAAUUGAAUUGUGUCCCUCCCACUACCACCAGCAACAAAAAAUUGAAGUCCUAAACCCCUGCACCUGUGAAUGUGACCUUAUUUGGAAUUAGAGUCUUUGAAGAUGUAAUUGAGUUAAGAUGAGGUCAUUAGGGAGGGCUCUCAUCCAAUAUGACUGGUGUCCUCAUAGGAAGAGGGAAAUUUGGGCACAGGCGCUCAGGGUGAAUGCCAUGUGACAGUACAGGCGGGGCUUAGAGCGAUGCAGCUGUAAGAACUGUCAAUGGCUGAUGGCCACCAUGAAAAGCUAGGAAGAGGCGAGGAAAAUGUAUCCCUUCUGCUGACACCUCGAUUUCAGAUGCUUAGUCUCCAGAAAUGCAAAACAAUCAAAUUCUGUCAUUUUAAGCCACUCUACUUUGGGUAUCAAAAUCUGUGUUCAUUUCCUAGGACGUUGUAAGAGUGUAUCACAAACUGGGUGGCUUGAUUUUCCCUAUGUGUCUCAAGGAGCAGAGAAAGCCAGGGGAAUUCUGCAAAUCACCUUCUGCCAUCCCUUUAACACGAAUCCCCAUCCCUGUUUUCCACCCCGCGCCGCCUCCCACUCCCCCCCACUCCCACCCCUCCUGCCACUGCACAUCUUACAGUGCUCCUCUGGACACUCUGCUGCUGACAUCUCAUGUCACCACCACUCCAGGUAGAGAUGCUCAGGCUCCUGAUUUCUUGUCGCCAUCUAUUGGCCCUCUGCCAAGGAGUAGCACUCAUUUAACAGGAAAAAUAACUUCCCAGUGGGAUGACUUCUCCAUGAAAUUCCUUCCAAGGGAAGGAAAUUCCCUGGUUAAGUUAUGCUGACUUAACAAGACAUCUGCAGAAUUUUCUUAAGAAGCUCCAAGGAAGCCUCUCAAACAUCAUGAUGAGGUAGAAGUGGUGCUGAACUUUCAUUUCCAUUUCCGAAAGGAAAAGGUAAGUCAGGGAAGAGUCUCCUACUCAUAUUCUCUCCCUGAGGAGUAACACUUUAGCCAGGGCUGGUUUUGCCCAGAUUUUGUCUCAGGAGGAGGGAUUUCUUUUCCCUUGCA